CUUAGCCCAGUGACUGUUGUUCCAUUACAAGAUACUCCUCAAGAAGAGCAACCCCAAGGCACAUAAUCAUCAGAUUCACCAGGGUUGAAAUGAAAGAAAAAAUCCUAAGGGCAGCCAGAGAGAAAGGUCAAGUCACCCACAAAGGAAAGUCCAUCAGACUCACAGUGAAUCUCUCAGCAGAAACCCUACAAGCUAGAAGGGAAUGGGGGCCAAUAUUCAACAUCCUUAAAGAAAAGAACUUUCGGCGCGCCCUCCCCUCUCCUUUCUCCCUCUCAGAACCUUCCUGCCGCCGCGUUUGCACCUCGCUGCUCCAGCUCUGGGGCGCAUUCCAACCUUGCAGCCUGCGACCAGCAGAGAAAAAUAAUUACCUAUUUUUUUUGCCCCGUACAUACCUUGAGGCGAGCAAAAAAAUUAAAUUUUAACCAUGAGGGAAAUCGUGCACAUCCAGGCCGGUCAGUGUGGCAACCAGAUCGGUGCCAAGUUCUGGGAGGUGAUCAGUGAUGAACAUGGCAUCGAACCCACUGGCACCUACCACGGGGACAGUGACCUGCAGCUGGACCGCAUCUCCGUGUACUACAAUGAAGCCACAGGUGGCAAAUAUGUUCCUCGUGCCAUCCUGGUGGAUCUAGAACCUGGGACCAUGGACUCUGUUCGCUCAGGUCCUUUUGGCCAGAUCUUUAGACCAGACAACUUUGUUUUUGGUCUUUGAUGCCAAGAACAUGAUGGCUGCCUGUGACCCCCGUCAUGGCCGAUACCUCACUGUGGCUGCUGUCUUCCAUGGUCGGAUGUCCAUGAAGGAGGUCGAUGAGCAGAUGCUUAACGUGCAGAACAAGAACAGCAGCUACUUUGUGGAAUGGAUCCCCAACAAUGUCAAGACAGCCGUCUGUGACAUACCACCUCGUGGCCUCAAGAUGGCAGUCACCUUCAUCGGCAACAGCACAGCCAUCCAGGAGCUCUUCAAGCGCAUCUCAGAGCAGUUCACUGCCAUGUUCCUCCGGAAGGCCUUCCUCCAUUGGUACACAGGCGAGGGCAUGGACGAAAUGGAGUUCACCGAGGCUGAGAGCAACAUGAAUGACCUCGUCUCUGAGUAUCAGCAGUACCAGGAUGCCACCGCAGAAGAGGAGGAGGAUUUCGGUCUGCACCACAGGAGGAUGCUUUUCCUGGUCUUCCCCACUUUCAGCAUUUCUUGUGAGUAUGCACUGGAUUUUCAUGGAGAACAGCCUGACAAUGCUGACGUUUGAAACUGGGAUGAAGCAUUACCUGUUUUAUUGCUGGGUCAGUCUUGAUGGAAACGUUCCUAGAAAUAACUUACAGAAAUAAAUACCGGAAGAGAAGGUAGCAGGGGUGGAGAUAAAGACCAGUGGCUCAGUUUACUUUGUGUGACCAAUGGAUACUCACAUAUAUUUUACACAAACAAAACAAUUUCAAC
rnacentral:lncRNA from 13 species